rnacentral:rRNA from 1 species
AGUUCGGAUUGUAGUCUGCAACUCGACUACAUGAAGCUGGAAUCGCUAGUAAUCGCGAAUCAGAAUGUCGCGGUGAAUACGUUCCCGGGUCUUGUACACACCGCCCGUCACACCAUGGGAGUCAGUAACGCCCGAAGCCGGUGACCUAACCGAAAGGGAGGAGCCGUCGAAGGUGGGACCGAUAACUGGGGUGAAGUCGUAACAAGGUAAC